rnacentral:rRNA from 1 species
ACACUCCUACGGGGGGCAGCAGUAGGGAAUCUUCCACAAUGGGCGCAAGCCUGAUGGAGCAACACCGCGUGAGUGAAGAAGGGUUUCGGCUCGUAAAGCUCUGUUGUUGGAGAAGAACGUGCGUGAGAGUAACUGUUCACGCAGUGACGGUAUCCAACCAGAAAGUCACGGCUAACUACGUGCCAGCAGCCGGGGUAAUACGUAGGUGGCAAGCGUUAUCCGGAUUUAUUGGGGGUAAAG